AGCAGCCGCGGUAAUUCCAGCUCCAAUAGCGUAUAUUAAAGUUGUUGCAGUUAAAAAGCUCGUAGUUGAAUUUCGGGAUCAAUAUGUCGGUCGUGCCUUCGGUACGUACUGGUAUCGUUGGUCUCUCCUUUCUGACGAACCAUGAUGUCAUUAAUUUGGUGUUAUGGGGAGUUAGGACUGUUACUUUGAAAAAAUUAGAGUGUUUAAAGCAGGCUUUAGCUUGAAUACAUUAGCAUGGAAUAAUGAAAUAGGACGUCCGAACCUAUUUUGUUGGUUUCUAGGAUCAACGUAAUGAUUAAUAGGGAUAGUUGGGGGCAUUAGUAUUCAAUUGUCAGAGGUGAAAUUCUUGGAUUUAUUGAAGACUAACUACUGCGAAAGCAUUUGCCAAGGAUGUUUUCAUUAAUCAAGAACGAAAGUUAGGGGAUCGAAGACGAUCAGAUACCGUCGUAGUCUUAACCAUAAACUAUGCCGACUAGGGAUCGGAUGAUGUUAAUUUUUUAAUGACUCAUUCGGCGCCUUA
rnacentral:misc_RNA from 1 species